rnacentral:rRNA from 1 species
GACGAACGCUGGCGGCGUGCUUAACACAUGCAAGUCGAACGGAAAGGCCCUGCUUUUGUGGGGUGCUCGAGUGGCGAACGGGUGAGUAACACGUGAGUAACCUGCCCUUGACUUUGGGAUAAAUUCAGGAAACUGGGGCGAAUACCGGAUAGGAGCUCCUGCUGCAUGGGGGGGGAUGGAAAGUUUCGGCGGUUGGGGAUGGACUCGCGGCUUAUCAGCUUGUUGGGGGGGUAGUGGCUUACCAAGGCUUUGACGGGUAGCCGGCCUGAGAGGGUGACCGGCCACAUGGGGACUGAGAUACGGCCCAGACUCCUACGGGAGGCAGCAGUGGGGAGUAUUGCACAAUGGGCGGAAGCCUGAUGCAGCAACGCCGCGUGCGGGAUGACGGCCUUCGGGUUGUAAACCGCUUUCGCCUGUGACGAAGCGUGAGUGACGGUAAUGGGUAAAGAAGCACCGGCUAACUACGUG